CUGAAAGUAGAGAAAGUUUCACCUGAAGCAAAAGCGAGGAACUCAGAAAGUUGAUUAAAGAUUGGGUUUAACAUUUUGAUCUGAUAUUAAAGACAUGGUGUAGAAUUUCUAUCAAGUAAUAAGAGAACGCAGCUUAUGCCAAUAGAAUAAUCAAACAUGUUACAAAAAGUAACACGCAGAUUGUGGUCCAGUUCUCAUUUUCUGAGUACUGGUUCCAAGUUUAGAAGAACUACAGAAUGCUUACCGAUUCUUUCAAAUAAGCAGCCUAUGCCACAUUGUCUGGCAAUGACAUCAGUUCAUCAACAGAGACAUGGAAACAAUAACUAUGGAUUAGGGAGCAAAUCUACGGAAUCGGGUGAUAGACAAUCAGAAAAUCUGAAAAAACUCCAGCUAUUGACAACAGAUGCAGCAUGGUCUGUGAGAUUGGCAAAUGAAAAUGGCUAUUUAUCAUGGUGUAGAAACGCAUAUUUAUCAUCAGCAGUUGGCGUGAUGAUGACAACACAGACGGCAAAUAUAGCUGUUCAAUACGCAGCUUCAGGUGCUCUUCUGGUAUCAGGAUUAAAUUUAUCCAUGGGAACAUUAUCUUACAUUUAUCAUAUAUUUUCACUACGACAACAUGCCAACAUUUCCUUUACAGCCACUAUAAUAGCCCUACUUUUUGCUCUGCUCCAUUUUUGUGCUUGGGCAGUUGUGUUAAUUUUUUUUAUGGGUAAUCAAGAUGAUAAUAUCGCUUUUCUGGAAAUUGAAGGACCUGAAUUUGAUAAAGAGGAUAGAGCGUAAGAGGAAGUCCGAUAAAGAUUUCUGUGAUUUAUAAUAGACUUGUAUGACCUUUUGACGUCCAUAAACAUGCUGGUAAGGUUUAAGUGGAUUGGUCAUCUUUUUGCCUUAAUUUUACAUGAUUCGAUUUUGCUGAUUAGAACCUCAUUUCUGUGUUAUGUGUAAUACAAAGGCAGUCUGUUUCACAGAGCAUCACAAUUCUUCUUUAAUAUCUCUGUAAAAGAUUACUGCCUUUAACACGUGCCGUCACAGCAUGCGGCGUCCAUCAUUGGCUGAAUGGUGCGUGCAUUGUUUACAUAAGACGUUACUGCUUCGGGCAGAAUGCUGUCUUUUAGUCACAUUUACACUAAAUAGGAAAUAAUUUUUACCUACAAAUACGUCAAACGUCUUUAUUUAUUUUUCUAAUACAUGAAAAAAAUGUUUUAGAAUUUAAUUUGUCGGUGGAAAAAAGUUAAUAUUUGAGACUCAUUAAGUCGCAUUGAUGUCAUCCUUAUCAGUGAUUGUAGCGGCCUAGCGAAUAUUCACUGCUGAUCAGUGUGACACAAAGGUUGUAUGACUUGAUACUGUAAGACUCCGGCCUAUUAUAAUAAAUGGGCAUGGAGUCCAGUCCUACAAACAACCCAUAAACCAUAUCUCCCACUUCAGUCUAACAGAACUUUCUUCUUUUGUUAGUGUUUAAUGGCUGUGUCCGCUUCCACCAGUGGUGAUAUGACAGACCAGACAGAUUGUCUUAUUUGAUUAGGGGUCUUUCCUGUGGGAGGAAAGGAGGUUGAUAAGCCAACACUAUCUCCAAGCCACAUGCGCUCACACCAGGGAUCGAAUCUAUGACUGACUGCAUGCCAGAGGUGAACGGCCAGCUAGAAAUCAAAGCGUGACACUCUAUAGACCACAAGCCCCCCACCCACACUCUACAAGAAUUUCAACUAAGUGACUAUAUCAAAGUCAGUCUGAUGUUGAUAAUAAUGACUACAGUAGCAAGGGUGCAUUGACAGCAAUCUGGUUACAUUGACAGCAGUGGCUGGGGUGGGCAAAUAGUCUAAGAUGUGCACUUUAGAUCAUAAGGUCUGUCAUUGAGUCAAGUGGUGUGGUUUUGAUUCCCAGCUUGUACGUGACAAGGAGUAGUACGAGUAACCUUUCACAAUUUGUGGGUACAUGUAGAAUGAGAAUUUUUUGUUUCACUGUCUAUAGAUGUAAAUUAGAUACUGUACCAUUUGUGAAAAGGAAAAUUUAGAUGCUCAAUAGGUUUCCAUUUUAAAAAUAUGUCUACUUAUGUAUUUUAUGAUUUUCAUAAAUGUAUUAUAUGUAAUGUUAUCGGUUUAUUUUAAAUUGUAAUAGAUAAUUUGUACUUUAAAAUAUUUGAUAAUAAAGAAAAGAUAAAUUAAUUACAUCUACA